UGCUGCGCCACAUCAGCAGAAAGUACCACAUCAUUGUCACAUUAGCCAUCAGCACCACAUCAUCACUGCCAGAUCAGCAAAAAAAAUUUUGACCUGGCUAAUUUUGACAUCCUGAUUCCAUUUUUAAUGUCUGUUUUCAACAAAAAACAACUCCGAGUGACUGAAAUUUGCAUCGUUUUAGCGAGGUAUGAUUUUAUGAUUAGAAUUCAAAUGUUGUGGGCUGAAAAUAAAG
rnacentral:misc_RNA from 1 species